CAGAAAAUAGUUUAAUAAAAAUAAUAAUUUUGGAGAUUAUAGAUAAUAUAAGUAAUUAUUUUUUCUGA
rnacentral:tRNA from 1 species